UCCGGUUGAUCCUGCCGGAGGCUACUGCUAUUGGGAUUCGACUAAGCCAUGCGAGUCUAUGGACUUCGGUCCAUGGCGGACGGCUCAGUAACACGUGGUUAACCUACCCUUAGGUGGGGGAUAACCUUGGGAAACUGAGGAUAAUACCCCAUAGGAAAAGAGGUUUGGAAUAAUCCUUUUCUGAAAGGACAUCCGCCUAAGGAUGGGACUGCGUCUGAUUAGGUAGUUGGAGGGGUAAUGGCCCACCAAGCCUACAAUCAGUACGGGCCUUGAGAGAGGGAGCCCGGAGAUGGGGACUGAGACACGGCCCCAGGCCCUACGGGGCGCAGCAGGCGCGAAACCUCCACAAUGCACGAAAGUGCGAUGGGGGGAUCCCAAGUGCUUAUGCAAAGCAUAAGCUUUUCCCAAGUCUAAACAACUUGGGGAAUAAGGGCUGGGCAAGUCCGGUGCCAGCAGCCGCGGUAACACCGGCGGCCCAAGUGGUAGCCACUCUUAUUGGGCCUAAAGCGUCCGUAGCCGGUUUAGUAAGUCUCUGUUUAAAUCCUACGGCUUAACCGUAGGGCUGGCAGAGAUACUGCUAGACUUGGGACCGGGAGAGGAAGAGGGUACUUC
rnacentral:rRNA from 1 species